CUCUAGGUACCAGUUGAGGCAGUUGCUUGCACUUCCGCUCGGGAAAUUCAUGUCUAGUUUCAGGCUACCGUCUAGCUAUUUCCACUGUAACCUUAGAUACUUUACAUGCAACAGAUUACAAUUUCUAAGGUUUAGAUUAUAUGUCCUCUUUUAUUAUUUUGGUUCAGUUUUACUUCUAUUCCAACAGAACUUCAUUCCAGGUGUCUGUCUUCCUUAUCUCUCUUGUUGAUCACGCAAAUGCCAGGCUUCUUUUUCCACUAUCCCUAUUUUUUCAUUUUUUCCAAAAAGAAGAAAAAAAAUCUUUCCAAGGCCUUUCACUCUGCACAAUCAUGAUGGUAACCCUGUGUUCCCACUCCAGAGUUCUGUACUUUUUUGUACCUCUAUUUAGAUUUAUUUGAUUUUAUGUAGGGGUGGCUGAGGUUGUUUUUCGAUUUAUUUGGCGAUUUGAUGAUGAAAGGGGACGGAGGGGGGUGGACUCUGGUGCUUAAAAGGAUCAAAUAUUUGGUUGGACAAAAUUUCUAAAGAACUCGCAAGACAAAUGAGAAAGUAUAGUCUAAGUUGGUUAUAACAAGGCAUGUGGCACUCAUCUAAUGUGCCUUGGAAUUUACCCUGGUAGAGAUAUAGUUGAUGGAAGCUAGAUUCCAAUUUUGCUUGUUGUCAAGUGUCAUUAAUGUCCCUAGAUUAUGACCUUGGUCCCACAGAAUAUAGUAUCAUAUUCAAAUUUUUUGGUGCUUCUGGGAUAGAAAGAAAUGGAUUUUAGUUCGCAUUCAAUUGCGUUUUGACUUUUCUUCGCAUGCACUUUGAGUAGGGCUGUACCCUCUGCCGUUUUUUCCCUGCCACCAAUUGGAGAAGUUGGUCUUACUAAAGAACUGGCUAUAAAAGAAUAGGGUGAUAUUGAUGUCUACACUGCAAACUUCAGGCCACACUAUCUGGGCUUCCUGAUUGGGUUUUCAUGAAACUUAUAGCCUGUGCAAAGACAAACAAAGUUCUUGGUCUGCACAUGUGUGGAGAAGAUUCCGCCGAAAUUCUGCAGGGAUUUGCAGUUGCUAUAAAAGCUGGGCUGACAAAAGCAGAUUUAAUGCCACGCUAGGUAUUCAUCCUCCAUCAACUGAGGAGUUUGUCACAAUGCGUACUCCUACUAGGAAAAUACGACAGAGCCUUGAGUCUGAGUAAUGUUAUUCCAAUUUCAUCACCAUUGCUCCCACUGAGUGCUGUUACUCUAUUUAAUGACAUGUGGAAAGAGUGAGGCAAACGCUACGGCAGGGGUUUAGCAAGAGUGAUUGACUGGCAGUACAUUUUGGGAGUUACUUUUAAGGUGCAAAGAACUGGCAUGCUGUUCUUGUGACUAAUAGAGAAUGAAUUUUUGCUUUGCGGGUGUUGUUUUGAGUUCUUACAACAUGUACCAAAUCCUAGAUAAUUUCAGAGUUCUUGCUGGUCAAAUUGAUUCUUUUUUUUUUUUUUUGGGGGGUCAUAGGAUAUACUGAUUCACUUAGGAUCUUAGAGACAAACUUUUGUGUUUGACAUGAAAUAUGGUCUCUGUAUGCAAAAAGAAGCUUAACCGCAUAAAUUAUUUGUUCAACUUUAAAAUCAAGUGAAAUUACCCUUGUGUUCUUGCUGCAAGCAUUAUUCCUGCUUUGCUUAUUCCCUCUCUGGUUUUUCGCCCCUUAAGUGAACCCUUCAAGUUGUGCAAUCAUCUCAAGCAACUUGUUGGGACUACUGGUGUCUGUCCAUCUUGCUUAUGGUUGAUGGAACUCAGAUUUUGACUUGUUGAAUGAAUGAUCAUAUGGAGCAAAGCUAUCCUUUGGGUUGCCACUCAUUAAAGCAAGCUACAGAAGGAGAUUCCUAAACACAAGAUUGUACUGUGAAUUUGUUCUGAGAACCUUAAAAUAGGAUCCCCAUCCAAGAAUCUCUCAAUUUUGCACUAAAUAAUCCAACCCCUAUAUUUUCUCUUUUUUUUAAAUGAUAGCCGUAGUUUUUAAUUUUCCUUUUCAUCAACUUCAGUCAUUUACAUUAAUUUUUUUGGGGGAGAGAAAGAAUAUCCUUGUUUGUUUUCUGGAAGAUGACUUUGGCAUUCAUUAAUAGCUGGCUUGUUUGACCCACGUUUCCCAAGAGUUAAAAUAUCAAAUAAUCAAUGGGGCCCUAUCAUGGUGGGCAAGUUAACUGUAGACUAUUCUAGAUGGCUUGAUGCUGAUUGUUCAAUCUCCAUUACCUUGCACAUUAGCUUAGUUGGUGGUGGAUGAGUCCAUAAAAUAGUAGUUCAAGGAAACAGAGAGACACUGUACAACCUAUGUAUUUGUUCAUACAAGAAGAACCAUACAUCAUCUAUCAUCUAUGAAACUUCAAUCUUUUAUACAGGUUGCUGUGAUGCCAUAGUAGAUGCUUUGGUCAACCUAUUGCAUCACUUGUGUUAGCAGUAUCAUAAUGCAAACUGGCUAAUGAUUUGAUCUUUUAACUAUAAUGCUCAGUUGCCUGACCUAAUUGCUUGAGAUGGUGGUGGGUAUCUUCAUGGUGAUGAUCAAGUAUAGGCCGUUCCUGUUGCAUCCAACGACCGUCUUUGUUCCUCACCAUGCCCUUGUUCUCAUCUUGCCUCCAAUAUGGUGGAACCAAGUAAUGGUCUUUCAAAAAGUCACUGGCCUUGUUCACCAAAGCAGGGUCCCUCCCGCUUGCCAGUACAAAUCUACGGCCUUUCCCAUGGUAUCUGCCACACGUACAAAUUACCACAUCAAAUGAAAAUCCAAUUAAUUUGAUGAUUAUCUUUUUCCUAUUAUACAAAUCUUCACUACAAUCAUCAUCAAGUUGCUUCCGAACUUAUCUCAUUCAAAUCUUAUAUAAUACUUUCCAAUUCCACCAUCAGCUACCGUAAUCAUGACCACCAUUAAUUAUGAAUAUAUCCAUGCGAUUAUAAUUAUUUAUUGCAACUUUGGUAUCAACCACUGAAAGUGGGUAAUGUCAAAUAUGAGAGUAUUUAUAAUUAUUUUUAACACCAAACAUCAUAUUGGGUCCUAGAAAGCACCAUAUUCAACAUCAUUAUCAGCGGCUGGUUGCUAAUAAGAAAAUGACCAACUGAUGAGGUGAUGAAAAAGGAGGUUCAUUUCAUUUAUGGUUAAUUUAACUCACAAUGCAGGUUCAUGCUGAACUCUGGUUUGAGCAUAAGAAACUAACCCGUCAAGUAAGUGCAAGUGAGCUUCCAGGUUAUGAGCACAAGUCAGAUCCCCGGUCUGCUUCAAAAAUGGCGAGUGUGUAUGAUCUAAGGCCAGUUCAACUCCGACGUGGGAGUAACUCCAAGGCAAUCCCUCAGCCAGCUUCAUCAACACAGGCGACACGUUUUCAUUGAAAAACAGUCCUGGAGAUUUAGGGACUAUAUCAUGCACAUUCACCACCCUCAACACCUUAACUCCCAGCGAUUCCAUCCGUUCCUUGAACCUCACGUUACCAACCCUAGGACCCGAAAACGAGAACACGCUAACAGGCACAGCUCUGCAAUCAUUUAACAAAUUUAGACCUGUUUCAACGAUAUCAUAGGCGCUGAGAAUCGCCAGGGCACUGCCUAGACUGUGACCAGUUAUGGUAAUGCUUAUCUCUUCAUCUUGGUACAGUUCAAGCAAUUUCUUCACUUCAGUUAGAAUCUGUUCCCUGGCUGAAAACUUGCAGAACCGGCAAUUCACAUCCUUAUCAGUGUAGAGAUCAAGGAAACCCGAUUCUACUUUCACCAUUGGAUCGGGGCAUGGAAUUUUGUUGGAAGAAAUCGGUUUGAGAAAAUCCAUCAAAUCUGCAAUCCACUCUAGGCGUGUCACCGUGCCCCUCCAAGCAAUGGUGAUGUCCCGAUGGCCUAAACGCUUUGACAUUUCGUCGUCAGACACGGCAACAUAUCCGAUCCAAUUCGCAUUCUUACUCCACACUUUGGGCCACCGUGAUUUCUUGAAAAAAUUCGGAAGGUUAAUGUUGGAUGUGGCGAAGAGGUACCUAGAGAUGUGGUAGCCAUGGUGUGCCAUGCCUAGAGCAUCAAAGAACUGCCGACGCGUGAACCUGCAGCUCCCACAGUACUUGGAAAAGGGGUCGAAAUCGAAAGCGUCGUAAGCGGCUUGUGCCAUCUCGCCGUAGCGAAUCAGCUCGGAGCGCUCGAUUUCCUUUUCGAAGUCAUGGAUGAUAGAGGACAAUGGCUCACUUGUUUUGGACAAAGCUCGAGGAAUCCUAGGUGAUCUUUUCGAAAACUCCAUGCUUUUGUUACGUCCAAUGCAAAAUUUCUGACCCGACAACGACGCAACUGAAGUACAUUUUUCAUAUGGCAAAACCUGAUGAUCAUCAUGGAGUUGGCGGUUGAUAGAAAGAAAAGUUUGGGAUAGAGAAAUGGCCAUUGAAACAAAACAAAAAAAGAUAGUGUAUACACUGUAGGAAGAGAGGUUUAAUAUAAUACAAAGACCACAAAUCCCCAAUGACUGAGUUGGUAUUUUAUUAUAUUGUAAUAUGAACAGAUUUUUUUUUUUUUUUUGUAAUGCAUGUGAUUCAUGAGGAAUCCUAAUCCUCAAAUUAGUCAAUGUUUUCAGGUUUCCGAGAAGUCCUUGGCAAUGGCAUCAUUCUAUAGUUAAUUCUUUACAAAUAAAGAAGAGAUAUUUAUCUUUUAAAUAA